ACAAACGACGUAGACACUUCGUCCGCGAUCCGAAUACUUGAUUUUGAUCCAUCCAGCGUUGCGCGUAUCAGCCUAAUUAGUUUCGCCGGAAAACCAUGUUCUGACAUUAUCUGCCAAAGCUCAUUUCUUUUCACUGAAUCGUACGCUGCUUUAAAAUCAAUGAACAGAUGGUGAGUCUGCAAGUUAUAUUCCCGAAAUUUAUCUAGGAUCAUCCGCAGGGUAAACAUUUGAUCCGUCGUUGAUCGGCCCUCACGAAAACCAGCCUGGUAUUCGCCGACGAAGGACUCCUCAAGAGGUCGCAGUCUGUUGAACAGGACACGCGACAGUAUCUUAUACGCCGAAUUUAAAAGGGUAAUCCCUCUGUAAUUGGCACACUCCAGUCUGUGCCCUUUCUUGUAGAUUGGGCAUAUGAGGCCAUCCAACCAACUAGUGGGCAAUUCUUCAUCCUCCCAAAUCUUUAUAAUAAUCUGAUGGAUUGGGCUGCAAAACGGUGAGUCGAUAAGGAGAGCGUCCAACAUAGCUCUGGUCCUCACAAGUUCCUACCUCAUGCUUCCACGGGUCAAACGAUGACAAAGACCGCCAGCUAAGAGUUGUGUGCUUAGUUGGUAGUGCAGCCUGGGCACUGUUGUCCUUCUGACUUCAGCUAGAUUGAGGAGGUACGAUCUGAGCGUCUGUUCACCAAGGAGGUGCGGCUCAAACAGCGUCUGUUCUGGCAUCCAGCGGCUGAGUAUGAAAUGCUGUAUUGCGUCAGCUAUACCUAAGAAGGCAGCCCCUUCAACGCAAUGUAGGCAGCGCGGCCCCGGUAAGGUAGCCUGCUGAAAACCUUCAAACACCCAGAAAAGCAAUAGUAGAGAGACCGUCGUAAGACUAACUAAAGCGAAAGCAUUUGCCAUGGAUGCUUUCAUUAAUCAAGAGCGAAAGUUAGAGGAUCGAAGGCGAUAAGAUACCGCCCUAGUUCUAACCGUAAACUAUGCCAAUUAGCUAUUGGGAGACGCUACAUUAGGUAUGGUGCUCUCAGUAGCUUCCGGGAAACCAAAAUUAGGUUCCGAGGGAAGUAUGGUUGCAAAGUUGAAACUUAAAGGACUUGACGGAAGGGCACCACCGGGUGUGGAGCAUGCGGCUUAAUUUGACUCAACACGGGUAAACUUACCAGGUUAGAACUUAUUGAGGUAAGACAGAUCAUAGAUCUUUCUCAAAAUUAAAGGUAGUGGUUCAGAGCCGUUCUUAGUUCGUGGAAUGAUUUGUCUGGUUAAUUCCAAUAACGAACGUGACUCCAUCAAAUUAAAUAGAACGCUAUCAGCAGUCAGAUGUUUGAUACCGGCGGUUCGGGCAACGGUCGCUCGCGGCUCGUGGUUGACCUCUGCUUAAUAGGGCAAUUUGUGUUCAGCAAAAUGAGAUUGAGCGAUAACAGGUCCGUGAUGCCCUUAGAUGUUCUGGGCUGCACGCGCGCUUUAAAGGGCCGGGAAAUCGCUUAAAUGCGCAGCCGGGUAAAGGCACAUACUAGGGUCGAAAGCCUUAGUAUGGGCAACUCCUACUUCCACCUCCAUGCGGCACCUGGUGGGAUACCUUUGUAGCAAGGUAUGCAAGC
rnacentral:ncRNA from 1 species